GACGAACGCUGGCGGCGUGCUUAACACAUGCAAGUCGAACGGAGUGGCGAACGGGUGAGUAACACGUGGGUGAUCUGCCUUGCACUUCGGGAUAAGCUUGGGAAACUGGGUCUAAUACCGGAUAGUGCAAGAUGAGCUCGCGGCCUAUCAGCUUGUUGGUGGGGUAAUGGCCUACCAAGGCGUCGACGGGUAGCCGGCCUGAGAGGGUGUACGGCCACAUUGGGACUGAGAUAGGGGCCAGAGGGGAACGGGAGGCAGCAGUGGGGAAUAUUGGACAAUGGGCGGAAGCCUGAUGCAGCGAGGCGGGGGGGGGGAGGAAGGCAUUCGGGUUGUAAACUCCAUGCGACAGGGACGCGGUACCUGUAUAAGAAGCACCGGCUAACUACGUGCCAGCAGCCGCGGUAAUUC
rnacentral:rRNA from 1 species